UGGGGAAUAUUGGACAAUGGGCGAAAGCCUGAUCCAGCCAUGCCGCGUGUGUGAAGAAGGCCUUAUGGUUGUAAAGCACUUUAAGUGGGGAGGAAAAGCUUAUGGAUAACACCCAUAGGUUCUGACGUUACCCACAGAAUAAGCACCGGCUAACUCUGUGCCAGCAGCCGCGGUAAUACAGAGGGUGCAAGCGUUAAUCGGAAUUACUGGGCGUAAAGCGAGCGUAGGUGGUUUAUUAAGUCAGAUGUGAAAUCCCUGGGCUUAACCCAGGAACUGCAUCUGAUACUGAUAAACUAGAGUAGGUGAGAGGAAAGUAGAAUUCCAGGUGUAGCGGUGAAAUGCGUAGAGAUCUGGAGGAAUACCGAUGGCGAAGGCAGCUUUCUGGCAUCAUACUGACACUGAGGUUCGAAAGCGUGGGUAGCAAACAGGAUUAGAUACCCUGGUAGUCCACGCCGUAAACGAUGUCUACCAGUCGUUGGGUCUUUUAAAGGCUUAGUGACGCAGUUAACGCGAUAAAGUAGACCGCCUGGGGAGUACGGCCGCAAGGUUA
rnacentral:rRNA from 1 species